rnacentral:piRNA from 1 species
UCCNGGACGAUGAACUACAAGCUACAGGAUG